AUUAGUGUUGUGCAUAAUUAUGCAUAUUACGUCGUGGAGUACAUCGUGGAUUACAUUGUAGAGGGAAAUUUGCAUAAUCAGAUAAGUUAUACAGUUUUCAUUUUUGUUAGAAUAAAUAAACUAUUCUGAGAUAAAAUUGAUACUUUGUGUUAUGUUUCCUUUUUUAGUUUAAAAGAAAGAGGAAGAAUUAUAAAUCUUAUAAGCCAGUUCCAAAGAAGCUGAAGUUGAUGGAAGAGCAGCAAGAAGCGUAUAAAAUCAUUAAUACUAUAACCUUACUUACAAAGCUACUAGUUCUCGUUAUUUACAAAGCUACUAGUAUUGGAUAGUAAUGAUUUGUUCCAGUCAAAAUUUCUAUAUGUUUUAAAAGAAAGGAAGAAUUAGAAAUCUUACACUAUCAAGGUGUAUCUUAGACUUAAACCAAUUUUAAAGAAGCUGAAGUUGACGGAAGAGCAGCAGGAAGUGUACAAAAUCACUAAUUCUACAACAUUACUUACAAAGCUACUAGUUCCACAAUGUUACUGAUAAAGCUACUAGUACUGGAUAGUAAUAAUUUGUUCCUGUUAAUACUACAAUGCUCACUAUUUAGUUUGGAUUUAAAAUUCCUAUAUGGUAAGAAAAAUUUUCAUACAUUCACAGAUCAUAUUCAAAAUUUUACAAUUAUUGUUAAUGAAUCUAUUUUGUUUUUACUUAAUGCUUUUGGAACAUAUAAUCAUGUGUCGGCUUGGCAAACUUGAGAAAUUUCUGUGACAGCCACGGUUUGUUCACCAUUACAAGCCGGCACAUGAUUAUAUGUUGUAAGCGCUUUAAGUGAAACAUGGACAAAAUAGGUUUAUCAAUAAUUGUAAAGGACAAUAAACAUAAUUUUAAAAGUACAAUUAUAAUUUAACUACAAAUAAAAAAUUGUGUUAGUAUGAUCUUUUUUGAAUGCAUGAAGAGAAUUGCAUUAAUUAUAAUAAAUUGUUUCGGGAUA